rnacentral:rRNA from 1 species
UACAGAGGUCUCGAGCGUUGUUCGGAUUCAUUGGGCGUAAAGGGUGCGUAGGCGGCGGGGCAAGUCCGAUGUGAAAUCCCGGGGCUCAACCCCGGAACUGCAUUGGAUACUGCCUUGCUAGAGCACUGGAGAGGAGACUGGAAUUUACGGUGUAGCAGUGAAAUGCGUAGAUAUCGUAAGGAAGACCAGUGGCGAAGGCGAGUCUCUGGACAGUUGCUGACGCUGAGGCGCGAAAGCUAGGGGAGCAAACAGG